rnacentral:misc_RNA from 1 species
UACGAAGGGUCUUAGCGUUGUUCGGACUAACUGGGCGUAAAGGGUGCGUAGGUGGCCGUGUGCGUUAGAUGUGAAAUCCCCGGGCUUAACCUGGGAACUGCAUUUAAUACGGCACGUCUAGAGUGCGAGAGGGGAAAGCGGAAUGGCGAGUGGAGCAGUGAAAUGCAUUGAGAUUCGCUAGACCACCAGAGGCGAAGGCGGCUUUCUGGCUCGCUACUGACACUAAGGCACGAAAGCGUGGGGAGCAAACAGG